rnacentral:rRNA from 1 species
AUUGAACGCUGGCGGCAUGCCUUACACAUGCAAGUCGAACGGUAACAGGUCUUCGGAUGCUGACGAGUGGCGAACGGGUGAGUAAUAUAUCGGAACGUGCCCAGUCGUGGGGGAUAACGCAGCGAAAGCUGUGCUAAUACCGCAUACGAUCUAUGGAUGAAAGCGGGGGAUCGCAAGACCUCGCGCGAUUGGAGCGGCCGAUAUCAGAUUAGGUAGUUGGUGGGGUAAAGGCCCACCAAGCCAACGAUCUGUAGCUGGUCUGAGAGGACGACCAGCCACACUGGAACUGAGACACGGUCCAGACUCCUACGGGAGGCAGCAGUGGGGAAUUUUGGACAAUGGGCGCAAGCCUGAUCCAGCAAUGCCGCGUGCAGGACGAAGGCCUUCGGGUUGUAAACUGCUUUUGUACGGAGCGAAACGGGAUGCACUAAUACUGUGUCCUAAUGACGGUACCGUAAGAAUAAGCACCGGCUAACUACGUG